rnacentral:lncRNA from 1 species
AAGAAGAUGACCUUGGCACUGGAGGUUAGAUUUUUUUCCAAAACCUAAAGAGAAAUUUUGUGUGUAUUAGCCCUUGUAUUAAUUCAAAUAGAAAUCUGAUUAAUAGAUGGUUUGUUCCUUUUCGUUAGUCUGAACAGAACGGUAUGUCUGGAUUUAUUAGUCUUCCUGAAUGCUUGUUUUAGUCUUUGCCUUACAAAUAAUUUUUUACUAUUUCACAUUUAAUAGCCUGAAAGGUAUAUUUUUGUCUUGGGGAGAUGAAUAACAGCCUUUAAACCAGAUACGCUGGUUUCCGUGAGAAGCCGUAACCAGCCUGCAAUAAUGAAAGGAGGAGGGACUAAAAGAACUCAUGAAGAGAUGAAACUCAUUGAAAUUAUACAGCAUACAGAGUUGUUAGAUAGCUGCACCCUCCAGCUAAAUGUGCAACAGCCUGCUAAAGCUGUAUAAACACCAGACAGUGAACUGCUCACAUCUUACACAGAGAGACAUGGUUCUUUUUGUUUCUUCAAGAAAACCUUUUAUGAGCAGAGAAGGUCUGCUGUAUGAGAUUUACCCACCAAAAAUAGUGAAUUAAAUGCCUGGAUGUGAGGAGCACAAACAGAAUUUCCCCCUCAUUUAUUCAGGACUGAACAUAAUAACCAAGGUAAACUGAUGUAGCUAACCACUUCUGACUUGUGUAAAUUGAUAUGCAGUGGAGCUGUCAUCUCCUAAUCAGAUUAAGUCCUUACUUUAG